GCGGGUGUAACUCAAUGGCAGAGCGCUUGCUUCCCAAGCAAGAUACGGGGGUUCGAUUCCCCUCACCCGCUCCA
rnacentral:tRNA from 1 species